rnacentral:rRNA from 1 species
AGACGGCGACGUUAAGCAAAUCCCAGAAAUAACGUCCCACGUUCGGAUUGUAGCCUGCAACCCGACUACAUGAAGCUGGAAUCGCUAGUAAUCGCGGAUCAGAAUGCCGCGGUGAAUACGUUCCCGGGUCUUGUACACACCGCCCGUCACACCAUGGGAGUCGGAAAUGCCCGAAGUCAGUGACCCAACCGUAAGGAGGGAGCUGCCGAAGGUGGAGCCGGUAACUGGGGUGAAGUCGUAACAAGGUACC